UCCUGGGAAAGAUCAGUUGGUAGAGCAUGAGACUCCAUCUCUGGGUCAUGGGUUUGAGCCCCAUUUUGGGCA